AGAUAUUCGAAAUCCAUCCCCCCCCCAACAAAACCCGUCUCCCAUCCAAUCCCCCGAUCUCUCUCUCCCCCCACACAACCCAUCGGCGGUGAUCGCCAUGGCGAACAAGCUGGUCUCGGAGAUGCGGCUACCUCCCCACCUCGCCCACAUCCUCGCCGCGCGCCGCCUCACCACCGCCAAGGACGUGCUGUCGCUGCCGGAGGUGGAGCUCAUGGGCGUCCUCGACGCCGGCAUCCACACCGCCCGCGCCGCCGUCGCCCACGUCAGCGAGAUCGCCUGCCCUCCGUACCAAACGGCGCUUGCGCUCCUCGAGGCCUUCAGGGCAAGAGGAGAUGGGCGGCUGGCCACCACGCUCCGCGGAUUGGAUGAGGCAUUGCAUGGAGGAAUCCCCGCAGGGAAGCUCACUGAGGUCGUUGGGCCCUCGGGGAUUGGCAAGACCCAGUUCUGUCUGAAGCUUGCUUUGCUAGCAACAUUACCAGAAUGCUAUGGAGGCUUAAAUGGUCGAGUUUUGUAUAUUGAUACUGAAUCCAAAUUCUCUUCACGGAGGAUGAUCGAGAUUGGUGAGAAAAGCUUUCCUCAAAUAUUUCGUCAAGAAGGCUUGGCCCAAAAGAUGGCUGGGAGGAUCCUAGUCCUGCGCCCAACAUCAUUAUCUGAAUUUACCAAGAGUUUGGAACAGAUGAAGGUGACUCUUCUUCAGCAUGAUGUGAAGCUACUUGUUGUUGAUAGCAUGGCUGCUCUUAUGUCAUCUGAGAUUGAGAAAAGCGCAACAGGUCUCAGACAACACCCUCUAAGAUGGGCCCUUUCAUUUCUUAAAUCUAUAGCAGAGUUCUCACAGAUUCCUGUUGUUGUUACAAACCAAGUACGCAGCCAAAGUAAUGAUGAUGGCUAUCGUUAUUCAUUUGAAGUUGAGAAGAAAUACGAUAGUAAUAAUGCUGAAGGCUUUGAAUCUCAUCUUGUUGCUGCUCUAGGAAUCCAGUGGGCUCAUGCUGUAACUAUACGUCUAGUCUUUGAGGCUCACUCAGGUCACAGGUACAUCAAGGUAGCUAAAUCCCCUAUGACUCCAGCGGUAGCUUUUCCCUUUACUGUGGAGUCAUCAGGAAUAAUAUUACUUAGUGAUGAGGGCAUUGAUGUGCCAUCUCCUGAAAUAACCUCAAUCCGUUGUCAAGGAGAAAAUGUCCUGGCUCAAUGACCAUUUGAAUGCUACCACAUCUACAGUUAAGGAAAACCAAUUUAAUCUCAGCGCACUCUGCAUCAACUUCAGAAGUUAUGUUGCAUACCAUGUAUAUUUAUUUAGAGAGUAGCUUAAAUUGUUGCAAUAUAAGAACUGAAGAUAUUUCUUCAGUCCCCAGGGAUGGCACAAAUGGCUGAUGAUCAAGCUCAUGCAGGUAAAAUACCAUUUCUUUUUGCAAGAAGGUAAAAUACCAUUUUGUUGUCAGUAGCUGAAGAAAAAUGGCAAAAAUACCAUUAUGUUGAUCAUCAGUUAAUUGGCACAAUUCUGAUAUUGGAGUUACAUACUACAGCCUAAAUAUCUACAAGUCACCUCCUGAAAUGGCUGAAAUUUGCAGGAUUCCAUCCUUGAUGACAUCUGAUAAUGUGGUGUCGAAUUGAGGCAAAAAAUUAUCCUCGAUUUCCUAGAAGAUUGGCGUGUAUUGCAAUCCUUGUACCAUCAGAGAUGCUAACCCACCACCUCACCCCUAGUUGUGCAAGGAGGCCCAACAGCCAAUUUGACCACGGUAUUUGCCAGUACUGCUGCAGCAACGAGGGGAUCGAUCGGACGUAUUCCGGCCGGCCGGCGUCCGGCGCCGCCCGUCGGCGCGUGGCCAUAAAACGCGACGAGGGGGUACGGCGUGGUCCUCUACAUGCACGGUGUUGGGUCGCCAGCCAGCCAGCCUUAUCUUGCUAGCUGUGACGGCGACCACAGUACCUGCCACCCUGGGGGAAUUAAUCUAGAGGGCCAUCGGUGGCGAAGAAGAGCAACUCAUCGGAGAGAAUGAAUACGUACGCUAAUAUGACAAUCAUCAAAUCUUUCAAGAUCCAGGUGACAGAAUCUUAAGCAUUCUAACAUAGUGCCACGUAAAGGAGGUAAAAUUGAAACCUCGGUUGGUCCCUUUUUGCUGCCAACACUGAUGCUAAUGCUUUAAUAAUGACCGUACAAGUGGAUCCUUUUACAGAAGAUCUAGUUGCCCCCUCCCCCAUGUGUUGGUGUAGCGUGUUUAGCAGUGGCGGUAAGUACUCCAGUACACUCACUCUGUCAAAAAAAAAAAAACUAUUUCCCUUUCAGAAAACUUAACCAAUAAAACGAUGUGAUCUUUUAUAUUGUCUAGAUUAGUUGUACUAGAAAGGAUUAGAUUCCCGUAUAAAUUAAGUAUUUUUAGAAUGGAGGAAGUAUUUAUCUAGAUUAAUUUGUCAGAUCGGGUUCUUUUUUAGAGAGAGAGAGGGGGAGGAUAAACCAAAUGUGUAUAUGAGAGGACACACCGGCUCGGCCCCACCUGUCGUACACUAUGACCACAUGCCAGAUUUGAGCCUGUCAUGUGGGCUUCACUCCCCCGGCAUCUAAAUCUACCUCUCAUUUUCGCCUCUUGGAACCCUCCAGGGGCAGGCCAGCAAAAGACUCCAUAUGAUGCAGGUCGCUCUGUGAUUGUGAUAUCUUAGUACUGUCUCCCCAUUUCUGAAUAAGUUCAUUUUUCAUUCAUCACAUGCAUAUACCAAUACAAAGUUAAAAAAUAUUAAAUUACUUCUUAUCAAAUUUCAAUAUAACUAUUCAUCAUUUUAUAAACAUUUAAUAUAAUUAUUUUUUAUUCUCACAAGCUCCGAAGUGACGAUUAUUCUGAAAACGAAUUUAUUUUGAGAUAAAUAGAGAAAACUAAAAAUGAAUUUAAUAUGUAACGGAUGAAGUAGGUUUCCUCUUUAUUUUCUUCUCUCUUUCAACAAAGUUGUAGGAGAAAUACCAGUACUAGUAGUACUAUAUCUGAUGGGAUUAAUUAGUUCUUCGUUGGGUUUAGGAGGCGUUGAUUACUUGUUAGAGCACUCUGUCCUGAUCAAACCUAUCACUGUCUGGCACCGUGCCUGGAGGUUUGCCUGUCGACUUGUGAUUGGCUGCUGGUGGGGACACGUCACCCUUAGAGGGGUUAAUUUCUUGAGGUGACCUGCAGCAGCUGGGGACCGAUAUGGAAUAGAAAAAUGGCAAGAUACCACAUAUGGGAGGUACUCCCACCGUAAAAAAAAAAAAGCUAACCUAAGAUAAUAAUGAAAUAUAAUUUAGAACAAUGAAUCUGGAUAUAAAGGUUAAAACCCGUGAUUCGUUAUUCUAGAUUAUAUUUCAUCCUUAUUUAGAUUGGUUUUUUUUUAGGACUCAGAGGGUAGAGGGUAGAGGGAAGAAAGCACAUGAUUUUAUUUAAGAGAUUUGACACACACACGGACGAUAUUGGUUUGUUCGUUGGAGAGGAAAAAGAGAUACUGUUCCAAUAUU